UACGGGGGGAGCAAGCGUUGUUCGGAUUUACUGGGCGUAAAGGGCGCGUAGGCGGCGUGACAAGUCACUUGUGAAAUCUCCGGGCUUAACUCGGAACGGUCAAGUGAUACUGUCGUGCUAGAGUACAGAAGGGGCAACUGGAAUUCUCGGUGUAGCGGUGAAAUGCGUAGAUAUCGAGAGGAACACCUGCGGCGAAGGCGGGUUGCUGGGACGGUACUGACACUGAGGCGCGAAAGCGUGGGGAGCGAACAGG
rnacentral:rRNA from 1 species